rnacentral:rRNA from 1 species
GACGAACGCUGGCGGCGUGCCUAACACAUGCAAGUCGAACGUGAAGCCGGUGCUUGCACCGGUGGAAAGUGGCGAACGGGUGAGUAACACGUGAGAAACCUGCCCCGGAGACCGGGACAACCAUUGGAAACGAUGGCUAAUACCGGAUGCCCUCAGCUGGCCGCAUGGCCUACUGAGGAAAUGCUCUGGCGCUCUGGGAAGGUCUCGCGGCCUAUCAGCUAGUUGGUGGGGUAACGGCCUACCAAGGCAUCGACGGGUAGCUGGUCUGAGAGGACGAUCAGCCACACUGGGACUGAGACACGGCCCAGACUUCUACGGAAGGCAGCAGUGGGGAAUAUUGCGCAAUGGGCGAAAGCCUGACGCAGCAACGCCGCGUGAGGGAUGACAGCUUUCGGGUUGUAAACCUCUUUCAGUGAUGACGAAAAUGACGGUAAUCACAGAAGAAGGUCCGGCCAACUACGUG